CUUGGUCAUUUAGAGGAAGUAAAAGUCGUAACAAGGUUUCCGUAGGUGAACCUGCGGAAGGAUCAUUAAUGAAACUUCAAAGUCGGCUUGUCAUCUGUGCUGGUGGAGACACAUGUGCACGUUGCAAGUCGCAAAUCCCACACACCUGUGCACCUAUGACUCUGAGUACCGCUUUGCGUGGGCCCCUCAAAGGCCCUGGUACUCGAGUACUUUUACACACUCUGGAUGUAAUGGAAUGUCUAUUGUACAAGGUACAACCAAAACAACUUUCAACAACGGAUCUCUUGGCUCUCGCAUCGAUGAAGAACGCAGCGAAAUGCGAUAAGUAAUGUGAAUUGCAGAAUUCAGUGAAUCAUCGAAUCUUUGAACGCACCUUGCACCCUUUGGUAUUCCGAAGGGUACACCCGUUUGAGUGUCAUUGUAAUCUCACCCCCUUGACUUUUUGUUGAUCGGUGUGGACUUGGAUGUUGCCGUGUAACAAACGGCUCGUCUGAAAUGCCUGAGUGUACCCUGCUUUUGCAGCGUAUUCGGUGUGAUAAAUCUUUACCGGAGUUGACUUUUCAAGUCACGCUUGUAGCUGUAGGCUCUAUGCUUCCAACUGUCCAACAAGACAAUCUUUGACAAUUUGACCUCAAAUCGGGUGGGACUACCCGCUGAACUUAAGCAUAUCAAUAAGCGGAGGA
rnacentral:rRNA from 1 species